rnacentral:rRNA from 1 species
UACGUAGGGUGCGAGCGUUGUCCGGAAUUACUGGGCGUAAAGAGCUCGUAGGUGGUUUGUCGCGUUGUUCGUGAAAACUCACAACUCAAUUGUGGGCGUGCGGGCGAUACGGGCAGACUGGAGUACUGCAGGGGAGACUGGAAUUCCUGGUGUAGCGGUGAAAUGCGCAGAUAUCAGGAGGAACACCCGUGGCGAAGGCGGCUCUCUGGAACGCAACUGACGCUGAGACGCGAAAGCGUGGGGAGCAAACAGG